GACGAACGCUGGCGGCGUGCUUAACACAUGCAAGUCGAACGGAAAGGCCCUUUCGGGGGUGCUCGAGUGGCGAACGGGUGAGUAACACGUGGGUGAUCUGCCCUGAACUUUGGGAUAAGCCUGGGAAACUGGGUCUAAUACCGGAUAUGACCAGUGGGUGCAUGCUUGCUGGUGGAAAGCCUUGUGCGGUUUGGGAUGGGCCCGCGGCCUAUCAGCUUGUUGGUGGGGUAAUGGCCUACCAAGGCGACGACGGGUAGCCGACCUGAGAGGGUGAUCGGCCACACUGGGACUGAGACACGGCCCAGACUCCUACGGGAGGCAGCAGUGGGGAAUAUUGCACAAUGGGCGCAAGCCUGAUGCAGCGACGCCGCGUGAGGGGAUGACGGCC
rnacentral:rRNA from 1 species